rnacentral:lncRNA from 1 species
AGAUGAUGUUUCCUUUCCUGCCCAAUUUAUCUGGUUAAAACGUCUGAUACACUGUUGAAUAGAAGAGGCAAGGGCACAUGUUCAUGUCUUGUUCCUGAUAUUGGGAGAAAGCAUCCCGUUUUUCACCACUCUGGCCAGGACAGCCUAUCUGUGCAGGAGGCAUUGCUGGCACCCCGUGGGGACUGAGGACCAAGGAGGAGCUGCUCCCCCACACACGAAACGGGGUUUCACCAUGUUAGCCAAGAUGGUCUCGAUCUCCUGACCUCGUGAUCUGCCCGCCUUGGCCUCCCAAAGUGCUGGGAUUAU